rnacentral:lncRNA from 1 species
AAAAAAAAACGAAAAUGUAUCAAAUAGAAGUGAGCGAGAGUGCAAGAACUCGAGUUUUACCGAAGAAUGAGAUGAAACCCUAGAAAUCGCGAUCGCUCUCUCUAUUCUAGAAAAACCAAAAAAUCAAAAGUAUGUAAAAUGUGUAACUCUGUAAAAGUCUCUGUAAGUCUCUCUAUGUACAUGACAACAAUCCCUUUAUAUAGGGUCUGAAAAGAAAAGUGGGAAAAUGGAAAAAAAAUAGAACCUUCAUCAUAUCUUCCUCUUCAUCCAAUGGCCCCUUCUUCACUUUGCUUCUCAACCCUCCGAUCCUCUUGCUGCUUUCUUUUCCGAUUAAGCCUCUCGCACGUGCACUACUCUUCACUAAGCUUCUGGUCGAGUAACAUUUAGGCCAUGGACCCUCUUUCUCUAGCUUCGCUCUCUCCUACACAAGCCCUAGCUCUAGGGAGGGUUUUCUGCCAAAAUAAAGUCUCCAGCUCGAGCAAAGUCCAAGGCAGCAACAGACUAGCCAAAACGCACAGUUUCAUUGAAUCCCAUUCUAUUUCUUGCAACAACGUCAUCCAAAACGCAGUCGUUUUACUAAAGGGAAGUCAACCAGCUGCGACCCAAAUUUGUUUCCAAUCUAUCCAGUCUUUUGCUAUUCAAAUAAUCACAAUGGUGGCAGUAGAGCCAAACCAGCAACGGUCCAACACUCUUCAUCCCUUAAGCCCAAUCAAAUUUCACCAGCAGCCCAAUUGUAAACACAUCCCUGC